rnacentral:rRNA from 1 species
AGAGUUUGAUCCUGGCUCAGGAUGAACGCUGGCGGCGUGCUUAACACAUGCAAGUCGAGCGAAGCACUUUUUUAGAACUCUGCGGAGGGAAGAGAGGGUGACUUAGCGGCGGACGGGUGAGUAACGCGUGGGCAACCUGCCUUACACGGGGGGAUAACAAUUAGAAAUGAUUGCUAAUACCGCGUAAGACCCCAGUACCGCAUGGUACAGAGGUAAAAACUGAGGUGGUGUAAGAUGGGCCCGCGUCUGAUUAGGUAGUUGGUGGGGUAGAAGCCUACCAAGCCGACGAUCAGUAGCCGGCCUGAGAGGGUGAACGGCCACAUUGGGACUGAAACACGGCCCAAACUCCUACGGGAGGCAGCAGUGGGGAAUAUUGCACAAUGGGGGAAACCCUGAUGCAGCAACGCCGCGUGAGUGAAGAAUUCAUUCGUGAUGUAAAGCUCUAUCGGCAGGGAAGAAAAUGACGGUACCUGAGUAAGACGCCCCGGCUAGCUACGUGCCACCAGCCGCGGUAAUACGUACGGGGCAAGCGUUAUCCGGAUUUUACUGGGUGGAAAGGGAGCG